rnacentral:tRNA from 1 species
GCACCUAUAGCUUAAUUAGGAUAAAGCAUUUGACUUCGGAUCAAAAGAGUGUAGGUUCGAGUCCUUCUAGGUGCU